GGCUCUUGAUUAAAUGCUACUUCCAGCUGUACAUUGCACAAUUGGAUGUUGUAAUUACAUUAAUUAUCUAUGUAUGUUUUGGUAUGAAUAAUAAUGUAUUAAGUAACUAUACUUUGUGCUAUGUUUAGCUUUUUUUCUAGAAAUCUAUCAUGGCCAUGAAAAUUGACACGUUGGUUCCCCUUCAUGUGAAGGUCGUUCCCACGAGGUCACAAGGGUCGCAAGUUGGAUCUUCAUUAAGGAGGAAGACAGUGUGGAGGCCGCUGUACAUUACAGAAAAAAAGUGGUAGCAAUUUCAGACAGCAAAAUCAUUUUCAAAAUUAUAUUCUUUGAGCCACAGGCCGCAAAAAUCAUAGCUGGCAGCAGCUAUGUACUGAAAAAUUAUGGAAUUGGAAGAAAGGACAGACAUGUCCUUUCAAAAUCGAAUCUAAAAAUAUUUAAUACUGUCACAGUGCAGGUGAGUGCAGACCUGGAUGAACCUGUACCCCGAGUCUGUGUCCAAGGAGAUAAAGGCUGUCAUUAAGAUGGGUCAAACGGACAUCCUGGUGACCACCCAAGGACUCAUUUUUAAAAUGCAGCGAAUCCGUGAGGUCCAAAUCAGGGGCACCUGAGGACUUUUUUUUUGAAAGAAGAUGGUGGAGAGGUGAGGCUUGUGCUGUGGAGGGAAGCCAACCUCACGUCCAUCACAGAGGGUCAAGAACUAAGGCUAACGCAUAUGAGGGACAAACUUCCACCUCAGGGCUUCAGCCUGGAGACUUCUGAGUUUUUAGAGAUCGGUGUGUGUUUGCUGGUGGUUUGAAGUGCAGAAAUGAGGUCCCAAACCCCAUGGACCACGCAGGUGAUGCACAGUAUUUACAACAAGCACAUUGUGUGUUGUGGUCAUCUUCAUAAAAAAGAUGUGUUGUGCACCAUGUUGAAGAAGAAAAUCAAAAUGACUUGUGUUUUUAACAAAUGUACACAAAUCCAAACCUUGAACUUUGUUUUUAUUGUUAUUAUCAUAAGCUUUAUUAAAGUACAAUUAUGUAAUUUUUUUUAAUUAACUUUUUUCAUUCAACAACAAGGAAAUUGUGUGUUGUGGUCACCUUCAAACAGAUUUGAUGAGCCACUUACAUAUAGCUUGUCAAGGAAGAAAAUCUAAAUAACUUGUGUUUUUAAGAAAUGCAGAUGAAUUCAAAACUUAAAAUAGUUUUGUCAAGAGAUAUAUGUACUUUAUUUUAUUAUCAUCCCAUAUAACUAUGUUACAACUACUUACUCUUAGAUUAAAUUGUUCUAGUAUCCAUCCAUCCAUUUUCUACCGCUUAUUCCCUUCGGGGUCACGGGGGGCGCUGGAGCCUAUCUCAUCUACAAUCGGGUGUUCUAGUAUAUAUAUGUAUAUA